rnacentral:misc_RNA from 1 species
CCGAGUUUACAAACUCCCAACCCUAUGUGAACCUUACCUAUCGUUGCUUCGGCGGGCUUUAGCCCCCGCGCCGCUCGCCGGCGCCGGGAAACAGGCGCCCGCCGGAGACCCCAAACCCAAUGUUUUCAUGCAGUAUUCUUCUGAGUGGCAAACGCAAAAAAAUAAAUCA